rnacentral:rRNA from 1 species
CGCGGUGAUACGGAGGGUGCAAGCGUUAAUCGGAAUUACUGGGCGUAAAGCGCACGCAGGCGGUUUGUUAAGUCAGAUGUGAAAUCCCCGCGCUUAACGUGGGAACUGCAUUUGAAACUGGCAAGCUAGAGUCUUGUAGAGGGGGGUAGAAUUCCAGGUGUAGCGGUGAAAUGCGUAGAGAUCUGGAGGAAUACCGGUGGCGAAGGCGGCCCCCUGGACAAAGACUGACGCUCAGGUGCGAAAGCGUGGGGAGCUAACAGGAUUAGAUACCCUGGUAGUCCACGCUGUAAACGAUGUCGACUUGGAGGUUGUGCCCUUGAGGCGUGGCUUCCGGAGCUAACGCGUUAAGUCGACCGCCUGGGGAGUACGGCCGCAAGGUUAAAACUCAAAUGAAUUGACGGGGGCCCGCACAAGCGGUGGAGCAUGUGGUUUAAUUCGAUGCAACGCGAAGAACCUUACCUACUCUUGACAUCCACGGAAUUCGCUAGAGAUAGCUUAGUGCCUUUGGGAACCGUGAGACAGGUGCUGCAUGGCUGUCGUCAGCUCGUGUUGUGAAAUGUUGGGUUAAGUCCCGCAACGAGCGCAACCCUUAUCCUUUGUUGCCAGCACGUAAUGGUGGGAACUCAAAGGAGACUGCCGGUGAUAAACCGGAGGAAGGUGGGGAUGACGUCAAGUCAUCAUGGCCCUUACGAGUAGGGCUACACACGUGCUACAAUGGCAUAUACAAAGAGAAGCGAACUCGCGAGAGCAAGCGGACCUCAUAAAGUAUGUCGUAGUCCGGAUUGGAGUCUGCAACUCGACUCCAUGAAGUCGGAAUCGCUAGUAAUCGUAGAUCAGAAUGCUACGGUGAAUACGUUCCCGGGCCUUGUACACACCGCCCGUCACACCAUGGGAGUGGGUUGCAAAAGAAGUAGGUAGCUUAACCUUCGGGAGGGCGCUUACCACUUUGUGAUUCAUG